UUACUUUCGAAUAGUGUUGAAGAGAAGAAAUAGCCAUGUAGCUAUGACUUGCUAUUGCCAGUAAAUAAUUUUGAGCUGCUAAAUGGCAACUGUGCUGGCUCAUAAAUACAAGCGCCAACUAGAGCUCCAACCGAGCUGGCCGAGAAUUUAUUGGCAACACUUAAUCUAAGCUGUCAAUGUGGAUGCAACAGUAGCAGUACCAGCUCCAAAUAACAACAACAACAGUAAUUGGGGGAAACUAUCGUAAUUGUCGGGGAUUACGGAAAAAAACGUAAAAGUGCAGAACGGCACGUGAAUGCGGCCGUUACGUUCAGAAUUGGCCAAAGUGAAGAAGUCGUAAAGUUUUAGUUGCAUUCCGGCUUCUUGGCCCUCGAAUGAGACGCUUAAUUUAUGUUUCAAUUCCAAUUAGCCAACGAGGCGCUGGCUUUUAUGCUACUUUUCAUUUGUUUCGCUCUCAUAUGCACUGGAAAAAAGGUAUACUGUUGUCCAAACUUUCAUUGUUUGCUUGAAAAUCUUAUUUCUUACUGUGUAUUUUGGUAAUUGACUUUCGGCCUGGCCCUGACGCGUCAUUUGUAAUUGUAUAUCAACACGAAGGAUGAGGAGGAGGAGUCAGGGGUCGUGGGAGAGCCACGUUUAUUAGCCAUGGCCAAAUGCAGCUAAUUGAAGUUCAAAUUGCGUUGGCGCAAGAGUCGAAGAGUCGAAGAAAGACGGCCAAAGGCGUCGAAAGGCCAGGGAAAAGGAAACCGUUGAAAUGUAAGCACUCACAUGUGAUUCCUGUCAGUUCAAUAAAUCGUUAAGUCAGACGACAACGCAGACGUAAACGAAGACGAAUCCACUUAAGACCACCACACAAUCGGCUAAGAAAAGCAGGGCCGAUAGCCAGGGAAAUAAAAUCAAGCAUAAAUGCAAUAAUACAAUUUAUGUGCCAAAUUUCAUGAGGACCAUAAUGGACACACCCAUGCACACCUUCUGUCCUUCUGCCAUGAUUUCUUCAGCACAUAUACGGAACCAACAAAGGUGACUUUCUGAAGUUCUCCUCGCAAUCGAUGUAAUCGUAAUCACAUUUGGCGCCGAGAUGUUGAUGCCAUUUGAUAUUUACGAGUGUGUGUCCAUUUUCGUUGGGCUGAACUUUUCCAGCACCGUCACUCCGGUCGAGGCAACAAUGUCCCAACACUUGGCCGAGUCCCAUCCACCUCUCGGCCCUUCUAUCAUCAUCCCCCAUCCUCGUACUGGGCCAGUCUCCUUUGGCAAGUUAACAACAUUUGCUUGACGUUUGCCAAUUGCAUUAUGACUCAAUUGUGAGUUGAACGAUUUUAUGGACGAGCUGCAGAAUCAGAAUCGGAAUCAGACACAGAGAGGCAACUUCAAGUCGAGUGUUGGUCCAUUGAGAAUGAAACGGAAACGGAAACGGAAACGGAAACAGAGUCUCUUGCCGGAUAACUCUUAUUGUGGCUUCAAAAUGAGUGGGUGUAUUGCAACAUCUGUGACAAUGUCUAGUUAGAAAAUGUAACCCUUCAAAGUUUGAGAUUUUAGCUUUAAGAUUUUUUAUAUUUUUUAAGUUAUAAUAAGCUUAACCUUAAACCUUUAACCAAAAGUCAUAGAGUCUUCUGAAGAGUCACUUUACUUUAUUGGUGCGAAAGCCAGAAAUAAACUCACAAUCAGGUGGAAUAUAAUAUA